rnacentral:rRNA from 1 species
CACGUAGGCACCAAGCGUUGUCCGGAUUUAUUGGGCGUAAAGAGCUCGUAGGCGGUUCGGUAAGUCGGGUGUGAAAACUUUGGGCUUAACCCAAAGCGUGCACUCGAUACUGCCAUGACUAGAGUUCGGUAGGGGAGUGGGGAAUUCCUAGUGUAGCGGUGAAAUGCGCAGAUAUUGGGAGGAACACCGGUGGCGAAGGCGCCACUCUGGGCCGAAACUGACGCUGAGGAGCGAAAGCGUGGGUAGCAAACAGG